CAAUUAGCCAAUGUUUUUAUUUUUUGUUUGAGCGGGCUCCUAAAAUUUCCAAACCCCUCUUCUAAAUUUUUCUUCCCCUUUUGUUUUCCUCAAACACGCUCGUUACUUUUGCAAAACCUUCGCUUUCAAAAUUUCUCAAGUCUUGAGCUGUCGUCCUCUGCUUCAUCUCUGGGUUCCUCCUCAUCCACCUCCUAAAGACCCGGCAUUCUUUUUGUGCUUCUCUACUUCUGAAACCAUAGCUGCCGCCAUUCUCUUCUUCUAUCGUUCUCCAAUUUUCUUGUCCCGACCUCGGUCGAAACCCCAUCGUCUAAGCCCCAGUGUCUUCUCGUCUCCUCUCUUCAAAAAAUCAAUUAUUCUAGGUGCUUCUCUUUCCCAAAGAUCCACCCUAUCUCUGCCUUAAUUCCUCCUCUAAAAAUCUUAACCCAAGAGCUAGAUCUUAGUCUUUGAUAUCUUAUUCUUCAAGCUAAGUAGAUUUCUGUCUCUUUCUUUGCAUUUUUGCUUUUAGAUUUCAAUUAAUUUUUAUAUUUUUAUGAUAGAACCGGAACUUGAUUUUGGAGAUGAUCAUAGAUGUGAUUAGAUUUCAAUUACCUAGCUCUCUACACCAUAUUCCGUAAACUUGACCCUAACCAUGCUGCAUCGAAGAAGGUGCUCAAGCAAAAGAGGGAGAUCGCCAAGAGGCUCGACCGACCUCUAAUCAACACUAAUUAAAGGAAAGAAUGUGGAUUCUUCAAGCAAAUUUGCAUCGUCAAGCCAAAAUGACAAGGCUAGGUACCAUUUGACAAUAAUAGAUAGAAGUGAAGAAAAUAUGAAGAUACUGU